CAGUCGCCACGGGAAUACGAAGGGGGCUAGCGUUGUUCGGAAUUACUGGGCGUAAAGCGCACGUAGGCGGAUAUUUAAGUCAGGAACGAAAUCCCAGAGCUCAACUCUGGAACUGCCUUUGAUACUGGGUAUCUUGAGUAUGGAAGAGGUGAGAGGAAUUCCGAGUGUAGAGGUGAAAUUCGUAGAUAUUCGGAGGAACACCAGUGGCGAAGGCGGCUCACUGGUCCAUUACUGACGCUGAGGUGCGAAAGCGUGGGGAGCAAACAGGAUUAGAUACCCCUGUAGUCCCUGUCUCUUAUAC
rnacentral:rRNA from 1 species